UGUUUGCCUCCGCCCGCUGGACUUCUCCAGUGUCGCUGCUCCCUAAUCAAUCUCACUGGUGCCGCCGUUCUCUCCCAUCUCUGACCUUCUUCUCCGGUGGCUCUUCGUCCCGCACCCUUUCUUCCCCGGCUGGAGGGUGCACAUCGGGGAUGAGGAGCACGCAGGGAACUCGAGGUCGUGUCGAAGCCUGGAUGCGUGGCUGCACACAGUGAGGAACACAACAUCCUCUCGCCCGUCCCCUCUUCUACCUUGGAGCUUCCUUUGGGACGAGCAGGUUUUCUUUCUUGACUCCUGGACUUGGACGCAAACCUAGUUGUGCAUGUGGCCGUGGGGGUUGGCCGGUGGCACGGUUGGCGGCGGCGGCUCGUCUAUUUACUGUCGCACGCAGGCACGCCGAGGCCGCGCGCAACGAGGAACACGUCAUCCUCUCGCCUUGCUUCAAGUUCCAAACUGUUCGCAGGUGCACUGCUGAAAAUUCAGUAGAACAUGGUGCUCCUAGAAAUACUGGUCAUCUGGGAACUUCGGCAACCUUUGGCUUUUCAAGUUUGACAGUCCGUUAAAAAGCAACUCUAUCCAAGUGAGAAGAUCAAUAUACUUACCAAUGGACCUUUUACAAAUUUGGCCAACGUUAUUCUCUCUGACAAGAAUGCAAGUCCUGUAAUAGAGAGUGUAUAUGUUGUUGGAGGACAUGCCAGAGAUGAAAAUGAUUAAAAUGGAAACGUGUUCACUAUUCCAUGUAAUAGAUAUGCGGAAUUUAAUACAUUUCUUGAUCCCAUAGCUGCGAUAGUAGUUCUAGAGUGCACUCUGGAUAUCA